GUCUACGACCAUACUACCCUGAACACGCCCGAUCUCGUCUGAUCUCGGAAGCUAAGCAGAGUCGGGCCUGGUUAAUACUUGGAUUGGAAAAGCCAUUGUAAUACAUAAGCUGUACUUU
rnacentral:rRNA from 1 species